rnacentral:rRNA from 1 species
GAUGAACGCUAGCGGCAGGCUUAAUACAUGCAAGUCGAGGGGCAUCAAGGUACACGAAAGUGUAUUGUUGGCGACCGGCGGACGGGUGAGUAAUAGGUAGGUAACCUACCUCAUACUGAGGCAUAGCUGGGAGAAAUUCCAGGUAAUUCCUCAUGAGGUUAUAUGACACAUGUGAUAUAAUCAAAGGUAUCGCAAGGUACUGGUAUGAGAUGGGCUUACUGACCAUUAGCUAGUUGGUGAGAUAAGAGCUCACCAAGGCGAAGAUGGUUAGGGGUUUGAGAGAGAGAUCCCCCACAUUGGAACUGAGAUACGGUCCAGACUCCUACGGGAGGCAGCAGUAGGGAAUAGUUGGGCAAUGGGCGGAAGCCUGACCCAGCCAUGCCGCGUGAAGGAAGACGGCCUUAGUGGGUUGUAAACUUCUUUACUAUGCGACUAACUAGAUUUACGAGAUAAUUCUAUAGAAUGUAGCAUAGACAAAAGCACCGGUA